UACGAAGGGGGCUAGCGUUGCUCGGAAUCACUGGGCGUAAAGCGCACGUAGGCGGAUCGUUAAGUCGGGGGUGAAAUCCUGGAGCUCAACUCCAGAACUGCCUUCGAUACUGGCGAUCUUCGAGUCCGGGAGAGGUGAGUGGAACUCCGAGUGUAGAGAUGAAAUUCGUAGAUAUUCGGAAGAACACCAGUGGCGAAGGCGGCUCACUGGCCCGGUACUGACGCUGAGGUGCGAAAGCGUGGGGAGCAAACAGG
rnacentral:rRNA from 1 species